GAAGAUUUUAGGCGCUUGGGGGGAAUAAUGAGAGAAUUUCUGCUUCGGGUGGUGCUUUUAUUAUUUUUUUCAACUCGCUUGGAGUUCUUUUAAUUUGCUUAGGUUGUUGGCUUAAUGAUUUUAUAUGACCCGUCUUGAAACACGGACCAAGGAGUCCACCAUAGGCGCGAGUCUUUGGGUGUAGAAACCCAUGGGCGGAAGGAAAUUGACUAAGAUACCAAGGCUUCGGCUGGCAGUAUCCCCCGGCAUAGACGUUUUUAUACAGAAAUGACUGAGGGCAAGCGCUUAUGAUGGGACCCGAAAGAUGGUGAACUAUACUUGAAUAGGGUAAAGCCAGAGGAAACUCUGGUGGAAGCUCGCAGCGAUUCUGACGUGCAAAUCGAUCGUCAAAUUUGAGUAUA
rnacentral:rRNA from 1 species